rnacentral:lncRNA from 10 species
CUGAAUUUAAAAAAUAACCUUUACAAAUAUCUUCUGAACCUUUGCCAAGGUCCCCACAUCCCUCUUUUAUUGUGAGGUCCAGAACUAGACACAGUCCUCCAGUACAGCCCUCAACAUCACUGAACAGCAGCACAAGGGAUGUUUGUAUUCUUCUGAAUGAAAGGUACUGUUAUAAAGAAAGUCAGAACAUUCGAAGGGGGUGGGGGCGGCUUUGAUGGCCAAGCAAAAGAUUUCCUCAUGCCUACACUCAGUCUGGGAGUGAAUGAGCCAGUUACAUAAGGAGAAAAUCCUCCUUCCUAGUGUUGAGCUUUCCUAAUUGGAGGACUAAAUGUGUCAUUAUUUAACUAAAUAAUUAAUAAGCUUUCUUGUAAUUCAUGGAUGACUAAACAGAUAAACUCACCUGUACCAAACUUUCAGAGAGAGUUCCACUGAUUUAAUAAAUUUGGUUCAUGUCAUCAGCAUAAAAGUCAUCUGAACCUUGAGCCUCAAAGACCAGUGACCUCCAAACUUGACAACUCAACUUAUAAGAAUCAACUCGGCUGCUUACUAAACAUAUAUAGAUGUCUGAGCAAAGAACUGAAAUGCGAUGCAUUAAAAUGGUCACACACCACGGAUUUUUCUCCUCGCUGCACCCAUGGAGGGAGGCGCUGUCUCCGCCUUUUCCUGUAAGCACCUGCCCGGGGCCCAAGCCCACAGUGGAUGGCUCGUCCAGCUCAGAGAGCGCCCAGGACGCAGUGAGGAAGCAGAAUUGGGCGCUCAAGACUCAGACCCGGACUGAUGAGCUAAGACUGCUUGCAAGAGGGAGUGGGAGUCGUUAAAAAAAUAUCCUCGUGGCUUAAUGACCAAGGCGGGUUUAUUCUCAAGGAAGGGGGAGCGGCGUGGUGGUGUUACUAAACAUAACAGAUGGCAGCUGUCUGCGGCUAUAUAGGGCGCGCUGACAAAUCCCUCUGGAUGGCCACGCGGCGCUGGGCUGCGGGGCCUGGGUGCACUUCGCGCCUGGCUCGGAGGGCGCCGCCUGCGGGAGGACCUCCGGGAGCCGAGCUGCCUCCCCGCAAACCCGGCCCGGGCCCACGCGGGCUCAGGGCGCCAGGCGGGGUGCGCCGAGGUGCAGCUCCCCGGCCCUAGGCUUCGCUGGGGUGGGGGUCGAGGCCUCUCCGCGGGUGGCUCCCUCCACCCUGCCGCCCCGCCUCGCGGCUGGGAGUUGCCCGGGAGCUGUGAAUUCACUAGACCAGCAUUCACCCAGGGCCUGCGGGGGCUGUGAAAGGAUGGGAGGACUCGGCUCCCCAACCCACCUUUACAAAGCCGAAGUGUGGCUGGUGAGGUACCCGACACGCACACACUGCACCGUGAUACUGAACCAUGCCUGAGUGUGCAUUUUGUGCGAAAUGGGUCUUAGCCAUGAUUUCCAUGUGGUGAACAUCUUUUCCAAACCCCGGAUUGAAACACGAUUAUCAGGUCAAUAACAUUUUUUCUAUGAUUUGGAGAUUGAUUCAGAUGGGCAAAAUCUUACAAAGUUAAUAAUCUUAUAAAAAUCUUACAUAAUAAUCUUAAGUCGCUUUUAGAGAGACAUUUAAAAAAUAUGUCUAUUGAAAAUAAUAAAAUUCAGUGAAAUUGGACAGGACUGUGGCAGUUGGGGAAGCUUCCUGGAAGAUCGGGCAGAAAGAGAGCUUGCCAGUUUGGGCUUGGGAUGGGCAAAAACAGAGGGGAUUGAGAGUUCUGGGGACUCAAUAACGUACAUCACUGUGAUUUUCAAGCGGCAAAUUUCUUUAGAAAGGUAAGGCCAGACAGACUAAUGGGAACUGUCCAAGGAGAGGGAACAGAGGAACCCUCUGCACUUUUGGGGCUAUGGUCUCUGAAAUCGGCUGCAAGGACCACCACCUAGGGGUCGUGUGGUGCAUGUCAUGUGCUUGGCUUUCUGCAGCAGUGUUGGAGAGUUCCAUGGGAAAAGCCUCCUCUCCCCACCCCUCAUCAUCUCCUCGACCCCUUUCUCAACAAAUGUCAGGGACUAAGGCUUCCUUAUUUUCUCCUCAAUCACCUUGCAGUGCUUUUCACUGAAGGUGAGAAAGGUUGAGGUUCAUUCAUUCAUUUAACAAAUGUUUAAGAGCCUUCUAUGUGCUAAGCCCAGGUGCUUGGAACCUGAACAAAACAGGUAAGAAUCCCUGCCUGCGUGGAGUUUGCAAGAAGCAAGCUACAUGGAUAAAAUCUGUGGACAGUGUCAGCCUGACAAUGGGCUGCCUUUGUUUCCUGUAAAUAGAAUUAUUCCUUUUGACUUAACAAGAAUUCUGAC